rnacentral:rRNA from 1 species
GGGGGAUAUUGCACAAUGGGGGAAACCCUGAUGCAGCAACGCCGCGUGUGGGAAGACGGUUUUCGGAUUGUAAACCACUGUCCUAUGGGAAGAUAAUGACGGUACCAUAGGAGGAAGCUCCGGCUAACUACGUGCCAGCAGCCGCGGUAAUACGUAGGGAGCAAGCGUUGUCCGGAAUUACUGGGUGUAAAGGGUGCGUAGGCGGGCUUGCAAGUCAGCCGUGAAAUCCCGGGGCUUAACCCCGCGGACUGCGGUAGAAACUGUGAGUCUUGAGUGAAGUAGAGGUAGGCGGAAUUCCCGGUGUAGCGGUGAAAUGCGUAGAGAUCGGGAGGAACACCAGUGGCGAAGGCGGCCUACUGGGCUUUAACUGACGCUGAGGCACGAAAGUGUGGGUAGCAAACAGGAUUAGAUACCCUGGUAGUCCACACCGUAAACGAUGAUUACUAGGUGUGGGGGGACUGACCCCCUCCGUGCCGGAGUUAACACAAUAAGUAAUCCACCUGGGGAGUACGGCCGCAAGGUUGAAACUCAAAGGAAUUGACGGGGGCCCGCACAAGCAGUGGAGUAUGUGGUUUAAUUCGAAGCAACGCGAAGAACCUUACCAGGUCUUGACAUCCAACUAACGAGAUAGAGAUAUGUUAGGUGCCCUUCGGGGAAAGUUGAGACAGGUGGUGCAUGGUUGUCGUCAGCUCGUGUCGUGAGAUGUUGGGUUAAGUCCCGCAACGAGCGCAACCCUUGUCCUUAGUUGCUACGCAAGAGCACUCUAAAGAGACUGCCGUUGACAAAACGGAGGAAGGUGGGGACGACGUCAAAUCAUCAUGCCCUUUAUGACCUGGGCUACACACGUACUACAAUGGGCGUUAACAGAGAGAAGCAAAGGGGCGACUUGGAGCAAAACUCUAAAAACGUUCUCAGUUCGGAUCGCAGGCUGCAACCCGCCUGCGUGAAGUUGGAAUUGCUAGUAAUCGCGGAUCAGCAUGCCGCGGUGAAUACGUUCCCG